rnacentral:rRNA from 1 species
AUUGAACGCUGGCGGCAUGCUUUACACAUGCAAGUCGAACGGCAGCACGGGUGCUUGCACCUGGUGGCGAGUGGCGAACGGGUGAGUAAUAUAUCGGAACGUACCCGGAAAUGGGGGAUAACGUAGCGAAAGUUACGCUAAUACCGCAUAUGCCCUGAGGGGGAAAGCGGGGGAUUCGUAAGAACCUCGCGUUUUCGGAGCGGCCGAUAUCGGAUUAGCUAGUAGGUGAGGUAAAGGCUCACCUAGGCGACGAUCCGUAGCUGGUCUGAGAGGACGACCAGCCACACUGGAACUGAGACACGGUCCAGACUCCUACGGGAGGCAGCAGUGGGGAAUUUUGGACAAUGGGCGCAAGCCUGAUCCAGCCAUGCCGCGUGAGUGAAGAAGGCCUUCGGGUUGUAAAGCUCUUUCAGCCGGAAAGAAAACACACAAGUUAAUACCCUGUGUGGAUGACGGUACCGGAAGAAGAAGCACCGGCUAACUACGUG